rnacentral:lncRNA from 1 species
GUUAAGUGGCCUGGAAAGAUAUCUGCUAGAAGACCCAUUUAAGGAAAAGACAUUCUGGACCCAAGGAGAGGAGAGCCAUUGGGAACACUCUUAAGGGAAAGCCAUGCUCGCUGACCUGCAGGGUUGCUGCCCUGUCUCCAGCUACCAUGCUGAGACUGGAUUGUGAAGGUGAAGUGGAAGUGGGGAUCAAGCCAAGAGGCUGCCAGAUGCCAGAGUGAGAGAUGACGACGAUGAUGGUGGUGAUGAUGGUGAUGUGACAGACAGGAGGGUGAGUGAAGGGGCAGGGGGUGUGUGUGUGUGUGUGUGUGUGUGUGUGUGUGUGUGUGUGUAUGUCCAUAUGUACCCAUGGAUAUGGAGGACAGAGGACAACUUCAAUUGCAAUUCCUCAGUUGUACCUCACGUUGUUCGUUAAGAGAGGGUCUCUCAUUGGACUGACGUUUGCCAGGUAGUCUAGACUGUCUAGGGUGCCCAAGAAUUUUCCUGGCUGUCUCUCUAGUGCUGGGAUUGCAAGCAUGCACUGCCACACUGGGGUUUUCGCAUAGGUUAUGGGGGACUGAACUCAAGUCUUCAUGCUGGUGUAGAAGACAGAUGACCGGCUGAGCUCUUUGCGCUGAUGUGGAAUCCCUUGAGGGGAGACGUGAAGAAAGGAUGGCUGAUGGUAUGAGAAGAGAGGAUAUGUAGGCGAGUCUUGGAGGAAAGGAGGAGUCAGAGUGAACAUGGUGAGUAUGGGGGCUGCUUGGGAGUAUCAGGGAUUCACGCGCAGUUGGAAAACAUGCGCUUUUAUUCUACGGGAUGACACUGCUGUGUCAACAAUUUCCAUAGGCAAAUGCCUUGGCCCAACUGCAACAAGCGCCACUCAUCAGCAGGGGACACAUUCUAAUACCAUCAGUAGAUAUUGGGCAUCAUGGAC